GGGACACGGCCACCCCCGUCCGCCGGCGACCGCAGGCUGGGGCCCGCCGCCUACGCUGGGCUGGGGAGCCAUCGCGCAGAGCUGAGCGAGGGGCACGCGCGUGACGGACAGCCCGCGCGGAAAGGCCGCCGUGACGUCACAGGCCUGGAAUCCCCGCGAGAAGUCCCGGUUCCCUUUUCGCUUCCCCGCCCGCGGAGGCGGGCUCCCGAAGCCCCGCCCCGCGUGACGUCAGCGCGCCGGCCUAUAAAAGCGCCGCGAGCGGCGUCCGUGCUCCACCGCUCUGUCGCCAGCCAGCACCGUGGAAGAUUACAUGCGAGACGCCCGUUCGCCGCCACUGCGCUUGCGACCGCCGGUGGGACCAAGUGUCCUCGAGCCUCACGCCUGAGGGCGAGAUGAACGCGCUGGCUUCCCGAGCCGUCCGGACCUACGAUCGCUUCUGGCAGCCCGAGCCGGCGCUGCUGCCUCCGGGGUGACGAGCAGGCCCCAGACGCCCAGACAGAUGGCGCCCGGCCAGGUGCCGCAUCAUGGCGCCCCCUGGGGGGACGCCCACCCCUUCUUCCUCCUGUCCCCGCUGAUGGGCUUCCUCAGCCGGGCCUGGAGCCUCCUGAGAGGCCCAGGACCUCCGCAGCGCUGGCUGCUGGAACAUCAGGUCGAGGCUGGCCUGGAGGCGCCCGUGGCCGCCCGUGGAGCCCCCUGGGGGGCUGGAGGCAGCGGCAGGACGCCCUGCCUCAGGCGGAAAGGCUGCCUGCCUGAGGCCCCGGGACUUGCAGAUGACGAUGACGAAGAG